ACGUGGGUAACCUGCCUGUAAGACUGGGAUAACUCCGGGAAACCGGGGCUAAUACCGGAUGCUUGAUUGAACCGCAUGGUUCAAUCAUAAAAGGUGGCUUUUAGCUACCACUUACAGAUGGACCCGCGGCGCAUUAGCUAGUUGGUGAGGUAACGGCUCACCAAGGCGACGAUGCGUAGCCGACCUGAGAGGGUGAUCGGCCACACUGGGACUGAGACACGGCCCAGACUCCUACGGGAGGCAGCAGUAGGGAAUCUUCCGCAAUGGACGAAAGUCUGACGGAGCAACGCCGCGUGAGUGAUGAAGGUUUUCGGAUCGUAAAACUCUGUUGUUAGGGAAGAACAAGUACCGUUCGAAUAGGGCGGCACCUUGACGGUACCUAACCAGAAAGCCACGGCUAACUACGUGCCAGCAGCCGCGGUAAUACGUAGGUGGCAAGCGUUGUCCGGAAUUAUUGGGCGUAAAGCGCGCGCAGGCGGUUUCUUAAGUCUGAUGUGAAAGCCCCCGGCUCAACCGGGGAGGGUCAUUGGAAACUGGGGAACUUGAGUGCAGAAGAGGAGAGUGGAAUUCCACGUGUAGCGGUGAAAUGCGUAGAGAUGUGGAGGAACACCAGUGGCGAAGGCGACUCUCUGGUCUGUAACUGACGCUGAGGCGCGAAAGCGUGGGGAGCGAACAGGAUUAGAUACCCUGGUAGUCCACGCCGUAAACGAUGAGUGCUAAGUGUUAGAGGGUUUCCGCCCUUUAGUGCUGCAGCAAACGCAUUAAGCACUCCGCCUGGGGAGUACGGUCGCAAGACUGAAACUCAAAGGAAUUGACGGGGGCCCGCACAAGCGGUGGAGCAUGUGGUUUAAUUCGAAGCAACGCGAAGAACCUUACCAGGUCUUGACAUCCUCUGACAACCCUAGAGAUAGGGCUUCCCCUUCGGGGGCAGAGUGACAGGUGGUGCAUGGUUGUCGUCAGCUCGUGUCGUGAGAUGUUGGGUUAAGUCCCGCAACGAGCGCAACCCUUGAUCUUAGUUGCCAGCAUUCAGUUGGGCACUCUAAGGUGACUGCCGGUGACAAACCGGAGGAAGGUGGGGAUGACGUCAAAUCAUCAUGCCCCUUAUGACCUGGGCUACACACGUGCUACAAUGGGCAGAACAAAGGGCAGCGAAGCCGCGAGGCUAAGCCAAUCCCACAAAUCUGUUCUCAGUUCGGAUCGCAGUCUGCAA
rnacentral:rRNA from 1 species